rnacentral:rRNA from 1 species
GAUGAACGCUGUCUACAGGCUUAACACAUGCAAGUCGAGGGGAAACGACGGGGAAGCUUGCUUCCCCGGGCGUCGACCGGCGCACGGGUGAGUAACGCGUAUCCAACCUGCCUCUGACUGAGGGAUAACCCGUCGAAAGUCGGCCUAAUACCUCAUGGCAUCGUCUGCGGGCAUCCAACGACGAUUAAAGAUUUCAUCGGUCAGGGAUGGGGAUGCGUCUGAUUAGCUUGUUGGCGGGGUAACGGCCCACCAAGGCUACGAUCAGUAGGGGUUCUGAGAGGAAGGCCCCCCACAUUGGAACUGAGACACGGUCCAAACUCCUACGGGAGGCAGCAGUGAGGAAUAUUGGUCAAUGGGCGGGAGCCUGAACCAGCCAAGUAGCGUGCAGGAUGACGGCCCUAUGGGUUGUAAACUGCUUUUAUGCGGGGAUAAAGUGAGGGACGUGUCCUUCAUUGCAGGUACCGCAUGAAUAAGGACCGGCUAAUUCCGUG